rnacentral:guide_RNA from 1 species
AUAAGAGAUGUACAAACAAAUAAUAAAUUUACAGUGAAAAAUGACGUCAU